CCCUUAGAUGUUCUGGGCCGCACGCGCGCUACACUGACGAAGUCAGCGAGCAUGUCCUACGCCGACAGGUGCGGGGAAUCUUGUCAAACUUCGUCGUGAUGGGGAUUGAUUAUUGAAAUUCUUGAUCAUCAACGAGGAAUUCCUAGUAAGCGCAAGUCAGCAGCUUGCGUUGAUUACGUCCCUGCCCUUUGUACACACCGCCCGUCGCACCUACCGAUUGAAUGGUCCGGUGAAAUCUUCGGAUUGAGACUUUGAUUUGUUUACUCAAAACGCUGUUUCAAGAAGUUGAUUAAACCUUACCAUUUAGAGGAAGGUGAAGUCGUAACA
rnacentral:rRNA from 1 species